rnacentral:rRNA from 1 species
CGUAGUCAACCUGCCCUGGAGACAUGGACAACCCCGGGAAACUGGGAUUAAUCCGUGAUAGGUCAUCUCAUCUGGAAGGAGAGAUGGCUUAAAGGGGUACGCGGGCUUCUUCCGCGAAUUCGCUCCAGGAUGGGACUGCGUCCGAUCAGGCUGUUGGCGGGGUAAUGGCCCACCAAACCUGUAACCGGUACGGGCCUUGAGAGAGGUGGCCCGGAGAUGGACACUGAGAGAAGGGUCCAGGUCCUACGGGGCGCAGCAGGCGCGAAACCUUCGCAAUGCGCGAAAGCGUGACGAGGUUAAUCCGAGUGACUUCCGCUGAGGAGGUCUUUUGUCAGCUGUAAAUAGGCAGACGAAUAAGGGGAGGGCAAGCCUGGUGUCAGCCGCCGCGGUAAUACCAGCUCCUCGAGUGGUCGGGGCGAUUAUUGGGCCUAAAGCAUCCGUAGCCUGUUCCGUAGGUCUUCUGUUAAAUCCAACGGCUUAACCGUUGGCCCGCAGAAGAUACCGCGGGACUAGGAGGCGGGAGAGGUGGACGGUACUCCACGUGUAGGGGUAAAAUCCUUUGAUCCGUGGAAGACCACCAGUGGCGAAGGCGGUCCACCAGAAUGCGCUCGACGGUGAGGGAUGAAAGCUGGGGGAGCGAACCGGAUUAGAUACCCGGGUAGUCCCAGCCGU